rnacentral:lncRNA from 1 species
GUACCCCGAGUCGACAUAUCCUAGGGGUAUAGAGAUGAAAGAUCAAUGUAUCAAAUUGUAAUGAAUAAUUGAUGUAAUAAUUCACAUCAAGAUGUACUAUACUUAUAAAUAAUGAUGUAGUUGCUUAGAUUGCAUUUGGUUGGAUGAAAGAAAAGAAUGUAAAAAAGAACUGUGAUGUAAAACAUAUGAAUGUGAAUGCGUGUAAUAACUUAGGAUGUGUUAUGUUGUUGAUACCUUCCAUUUUGCAAUCUUGAUUGAUAUCUGUUCCUGGUUGGAACCUUCGUGUUGUAUUGAUUGCGUUGCCUUGAACGUACAGGGGAGACUCUGUCCGAGGUACAGGGGAAUCCUCGGUCCGUUCGGCACUGUCGGCGCCGCGAACCUGACCAAAUUGGCGGGGGUCGCGGGUCGUGACAGUGGGUGUGAUAUAUGAGGGUGGCUUGUGUUGUAGCCCUCAUUUCUGAACCCUACACCAAAGGAACACUCCCUCUCUCUCUCUCUAAAACCUUCUCUUCUCUCUUCCUCUCUCUCUAGAGCUUGGACCAAGGAGGCCUUUUGGAGAGAUCUAGGUGGAGAAGAAGGCAAAGUGAUGGGUGUUGCUUGCUAUUGUGCAAGUGUACAAGGAAGAGUUUGAACCAAAUGUGAGAUUUUUUGGUUUUAAGCUAGGGUUUUGGUUUAGUUCCUUCUAGCAUGCUUCUUGGAGAGGUAAAUGGUAACUUUCCCCAUGUUAUUCAUGCUAGGGACUACAUUGGGGAAGAUGAUGUUGUAUAAGGACCUUAUGUUAGGGUUUGGUCAAAGUGAGGUCUAAUCUUGGGAUUGAUCUCUUGCUACCCUAAUUGGUAGGUAAAUGAAUGCUUUGGUGCGCUCGUUUCGGCAAUCCAACGAGUGUGAGCGGAGAAAUCGAAAAAAGGGCUAUUUUGGUACAGAUUGCCGCAGCUAGCAGCGUAGGUGUCUAAAAAUCACGAAAUCGGGAUCAUGGCAUCCUAGCAUUCCUACGAGGUGGGGGGUGCUAUCCGAAAACACUGAAUCUCCUUCUAUGUUUGUGUUACCUUUAUUGAGCAUAUUGAUGUACUAGCAUUCAUGCAUAUAGGGUAGUGAAAUGAGUAUUUGGUUGGGAUUCAAUUAUCUGCUUAGAGAACAUAUGAAUUGACAAAGAACCAUGUGAACAAUGAACGUGAAAACCCUAUGUGUAUGUGAAUGUGUGAAAAGACUAUGACAAUAAUAAACAAAGGUGAAUUGUCUAUAGAGACGAGAUUGGCACCGUGAAUGAGAAUGGCUAAACAAAGUUUAACCUAUAGUGGCAUCAUGACCAUUAUGGCUCGGAUAUAGUGGUAUAUAUAAAUAAGGUAGCAACCUAUCAUUGGCAUUGAGACAUUGUGGAUUGAGACAGGUUUGGCUAUACUUCCUCGAAUUGAGGAUUGGAUCGAUCAUAUUGGUUCCGGCUUGAGGGAGGUAGUUCCUCCUCAAGCGGUGUACUCCGGAGUGUAGACACCACGGGGAGAGUGCCCCGGUGAUGAUCCCUCGGGCGGUAGUGCCAAGUGCCUCCCCCGGCAAAUGGGAUUUGUGGAUUGUGAGUUUGGGGUAAACUACGAGCACCCCGGGUUGAUUGGGUAAAGGCCAAAGAGAAUGAGAACAAGAACAUGCGUGCAUAAUUAUCAUAUACAUGACAAUCUAUCUGCUGACAGCUUUCUUGCAAGCAUUGUAUUAGUAGCAUUAGUUGGUUUGUUAUCUACUUUUCUUGAAAUAUAUAUACCUGAACAUAUACCUGAAUAGACCUAGUGGGCGAGUCGGCGUGGUCGGCGGCCAAACCCACUGGGAACUUCGUUGUAGUUCUCACACCACCACUAACCCUGCAGAUCCAUGCGCGAGCGGGGCGGCGGAGGAUCGAGGCAAGGGAUUAGCGCCGUAGAUAGCGACUUUCAGAGUUAUAGGCAUACCCUAUGUACACAUUCAACUUUUGUAUGUUGAACUAGGAAUGUAAAAGAAAUGUAAACUUUAUGUUUUAGAUGAAUGACAAUGUGAUGUACAUGGAUGGAAAAAGAAUGAAUGUAAUAGUUUAGUUUACUUAUAUUUGAUUAAAAUGUAAUCAAAUGACAUGUAUGUGGAAUGGUUUAGUAUACUAGCAUAGAUGCUUUCAAUUGUGGAUUAGUUGUUGCUUGCCCUCGUGCAAGCCUAGUAUAAUUGCAUUCAUCUUGUUGAAUUGCUUGUAUUAUACUUGUUGAUUAGAGCCUUGGGCGGACAGGAGAGGUGCUGUCCGUUCGGCGUCUGUUGACGUGCCCGAACCGACCAAAUUGGCGGUCCCGGGGCGUGACAUUAAGUCUAACGGAGCCGAUCAUCGAUUCGAAAACUCCAUCAUCAAAAACGGCUUAGGAGCAAGGAGGCCUCCGUGAGCACGGAGGCCUCCAUGCUCCUAAUAGCACACAAGACCUACUCUCUCUCUCUCUCUCUUUUUCUCUCUCUCUCUAUAUAUAUAUAUAAAUAUGAGUCCGACUACUAUACUAUUAAUAGCAUGAAGCACUUGGUGCUACCAAGUUUUCCACCGUUAGAUCUACCCUUUUGAUCAUUUUCACCUGUUAGAUCAUACUAUUCAACCAACCAUUCACUCAACCCCAGGGGGCCCACAUCAUCCUUGUCACGCCCCAGGACCGGUGAAGGCCCUCCCGGUAGCGCGCCCAGACCCGCCAUAUGUCUACACAUAUAAGGCGUCUACAACAAAGGCGGAAGUAAAGCAAGAAGUAGAACAAAUAGCAUAAUGAUAACUAAUGAUAUCAGAGCGAGUAAAGUUCUAUCAUCUAAACCAGAGUAAAAGAAACAUNUAGAGCAAUUCCUAAAUCAAAUAGCUGUUGGAUUUUAUCCAAUAAUAAAUUUUGAUGAUAACAAACAAAUUUUGGAUUUAAUUUGUUACUUAGCAAUUUCAGGUUGUAGUUGAAUUUAAAGUGGCUCAAGCCGAACCGCAAUUGAUAAAAUGUAACCAUUCAAUCAAAUUGUUCAAAUUGGUCCGGACAAGAUCAAAUUGUACCAAAUUGGAUGUAAGUGCCACAACAAUUUUGAAGGACUUCUUUACAAUUUAUCGGAUUUGAGCCGGUCAACCUAGUCAAGUUGACCAAAUCACUUUUUGGGUUUGAUUUGAGCUUAAUGUCAAAUUAGCCAUUAUUUUAAUAUGGUAUGAAAGUGAUUUUAUGUAUGGUAUAAAUUCAAAAUUGAUUUUAUUAUGGUAUGAAUUUAAAAAAUAUGAAAUAUGAUAUAAAUGAAUUUUAUAAAUAUGGCAUUAUUUCAAAAGCUUUUACAAAUGUGGAAUGAAUUCAAAAGUUUUACAUUUUAGUAUUAAUUUAAAAGGAUUUUACGAAUUGAGUAUAAUUUUAAAUGAGCUUUUCAAUAUAGUAAUAUUUCAAAUGAGUCUUAAUUGUUCAUUGAUUUGUAAUUGUGAGCUUCAUUGAGAGGUUGUAAAAAAAGUUUUGUGUAAUUGUAAGCGGCUUUGGUUUUGCCCUGUUCAAAAGGCCAAGUGAUAGUGAAAUCAGCAUCUCAAGGAGAAGAAGGAUCGGACUGGAGUAGGCAGAAAGGCCGAACCAGGAUAAAUCAUUUGUGUUAUUUGAGUUUGAUUUUCUUCUUUUAUUUGGUUGUGCAAUUUUUAUCUUGAUUUAAUUUUACUUGAGUUUUUAGUUGUCAACUAAUUCAACCCCCCUCCCCCUCUUAGUUGCCAUUUGAUCCUUCAUUUGGGUAUCAGAGCGCAGGUCUCACUGUUGCAGACUAACUGUCUCGUGGGAUGGCAACUUUUCAUGCUACUAUUGAAGGUCAAUCUAUCACCCGUCCUCCUUUCUUCACUGGGAGUAACUAUGUCACGCCCCGAGCCCGCCUAUUUGAUCGGUUUGGGCACGUCAACAGACGCUGAACGGACAGCACCUCCCAUGCUCGCCCAAGGCUCAACAAAACAUCAACAUGUAUAUAGAAUUUGCGCAAGCAGAAACAUACAUAUAUAUGGCUUGCACGAGGACAAGCAAUAGCCAAAAGUGAAAGUUCUCAACUAUAACAUCAUACAAGUACUAUGAUUCCUUUUAAUCACAUACAUGCAUUUAGAUCUUUUACAUUCUUUCAUUCAUUAUACAUCACAUCACAUCCAAAAUAUAAGCUCUUUUACAUUUAUGCAUCAUUUAUACAAUUCUCAUCAUCAAAUACAAAAAUGAUAUAACAGGUAUGAAACUAUACUUGGUAGUCACUAGCUACGGUGCGAUAUCCUUGCCACGGUCGUCGACCGCCUCGCUCGGACCUGGAUUUGUAGAAGAUAGUGGGGUGAGAACUACAACAUAGUUUCCAGUGGGUUCGGCCGCCGACCUCGCCGAUGUCUGCCACCACGAAUGACGCACCUCGCACGGUCGAUGGGUUUUGUCGUGGGGUAGUAUUCAUGAUUUAGAUUGGUAUCUUAUAUGUAUAUGGGUAUCAGGUAUUGCGGGUCCAUGGCUUCAAGCAUCUACUGUUAAUUACCCCCGUGGAUUGGGGCACCUUUGAUUAAGAGACCUUUAUAGAUGGGAGGUGAUGAAUUGCAUCUUAAUUUAUUGAAUCCUAUGUAUAUGUAUUAGGAUUCAGCUGGAUUUGAGAUUGAUUAGGUCCUAAGUAUAUGUGUUAAGACCUAGUCGAUAUUAAACUCUAUGUAUUACAGUCUAAUUGGUUCUAAGUAUAUGUCUUAGAGUCCGUUUCUUUUCACUUUGGUUUAGAUGAUAGAACUUUCCUCGGUGUAGAUAUGAUUAGUUCUCAUUAUGCUAUUUGUUCUACUUCUUGGUUUAGUUCCGCCUUUGUUGUUGACGCCUUAUAUGUGUAGAGAUAUGGCUGGUUCCUGGGUGUAUGCUAUCAAGAUUAACCGAGUUUAAUAUAUUUUUCACUCUAGUUAUAUGUGCUAGAGUGAAGAUCUGACUAAGCCCUAAGGUAUUAUGCUAGGGUUCGUCGGAUUUGAUUUGCAUGAGCUCAAAGUAUAUAUAUUAGAGCUCAAUCGGGUAUGGAUUUCACUCUAGGUAGAUAUGCGAGAGCAAAAGGCUGACGAGACCCAAAGUGUAUGUGUUAGGACCAGUCGAGCUUGGUUUGACUUCAACUCUAGAUAUAUGUGCUAGAGCAAAAGGUAGUAUAGACCCUAAGUGUCACGCCCCGAGCUCCGCCAAUUUGGUCGGAUUCGAGCACAUGACAGACGCCGAACGGACAGUACCUC